rnacentral:rRNA from 2 species
GAGCUAACGCGUUAAAUCGACCGCCUGGGGAGUACGGCCGCAAGGUUAAAACUCAAAUGAAUUGACGGGGGCCCGCACAAGCGGUGGAGCAUGUGGUUUAAUUCGAUGCAACGCGAAGAACCUUACCUGGUCUUGACAUCCACAGAACUUUCCAGAGAUGGAUUGGUGCCUUCGGGAACUGUGAGACAGGUGCUGCAUGGCUGUCGUCAGCUCGUGUUGUGAAAUGUUGGGUUAAGUCCCGCAACGAGCGCAACCC